rnacentral:rRNA from 1 species
AGUGAACGCUGGCGGUAGGCCUAACACAUGCAAGUCGAACGGCAGCACAGUAAGAGCUUGCUCUUACGGGUGGCGAGUGGCGGACGGGUGAGGAAUACAUCGGAAUCUACUUUUUCGUGGGGGAUAACGUAGGGAAACUUACGCUAAUACCGCAUACGACCUACGGGUGAAAGCAGGGGAUCUUCGGACCUUUCGCGAUUGAAUGAGCCGAUGCCGGAUUAGCUAGUUGGCGGGGUAAAGGCCCACCAAGGCAACGAUCCGUAGCUGGUCUGAGAGGAUGAUCAGCCACACUGGAACUGAGACACGGUCCAGACUCCUACGGGAGGCAGCAGUGGGGAAUAUUGGACAAAGGGCGCAAGCCUGAUCCAGCCAUACCGCGUGGGUGAAGAAGGCCUUCGGGUUGUAAAGCCCUUUUGUUGGGAAAGAAAAGCAGCAGGUUAAUACCCCGCUGUUCUGACGGUACCCAAAGAAUAAGCACCGGCUAACUUCGUG